rnacentral:rRNA from 1 species
GGGUAAACCUGAGAAACCCGAAAGGUCGAAAGGGGAAAUUCAUUCGCGUUUCGUCUGCCGGCGGUGAGCGGGUGCGUGACGAACGGUGUUCGCGCCGUUCGCGCUGCUCGUUUUCUGGCACCGGUGACGAACGCGUGCACUUUUCCCCUAGUAGGACGUCGCGAUCCGUUGGGUGUCGGUCUAAGGCUCGAGGUGGAGCCCGCGUGGUCGCUUCGGCGUGUCGCGCGGACCCUCGAAAUCCUGGCCGACUUGCUCGACGGUAUAAGGAAGGCGCGAGGCCGCUACUCAGUUAGCGUUCGGCUCGCGGCAAGCGCGUUCGGCGUUUACGGCGAUCGGACCUGGUGCCGAUUCUGUCCCCGGACGACUGUUGGCCGCGAUGCUCUCGAACAGACCUCGAAUCUCGAAACGCCGAUCUGCGACGCUAUAGCUUUGGGUACUUUCAGGACCC